rnacentral:rRNA from 1 species
UUGGUGAGGUAACGGCCCACCAAGGCUUCGACGGGUAGCCGGCCUGAGAGGGUGACCGGCCACACUGGGACUGAGACACGGCCCAGACUCCUACGGGAGGCAGCAGUGGGGAAUAUUGGACAAUGGGCGAAAGCCUGAUCCAGCAACGCCGCGUGAGGGAUGACGGCCUUCGGGUUGUAAACCUCUUUCAGUACCGACGAAGCGCCUGUAAGGGUGGUGACGGUAGGUACAGAAGAAGGACCGGCCAACUACGUGCCAGCAGCCGCGGUAAUACGUAGGGUCCGAGCGUUGUCCGGAAUUAUUGGGCGUAAAGGGCUCGUAGGCGGUCUGUCGCGUCGGGA